rnacentral:rRNA from 1 species
UGGGGAAUAUUGCACAAUGGGGGAAACCCUGAUGCAGCGACGCCGCGUGAACGAAGAAGGUAUUCGUAUCGUAAAGUUCUGUCCUAUGGGAAGAUAAUGACAGUACCAUAGAAGAAAGCUCCGGCUAAAUACGUGCCAGCAGCCGCGGUAAUACGUAUGGAGCGAGCGUUGUCCGGAAUUAUCGGGCGUAAAGGGUACGCAGGCGGUUUAAUAAGUCGAAUGUUAAAGAUCGGGGCUCAACCCCGCAAAGCAUUGGAAACUGAUAAACUUGAGUAGUGGAGAGGAAAGUGGAAUUCCUAGUGUAGUGGUGAAAUACGUAGAUAUUAGGAGGAAUACCAGUAGCGAAGGCGACUUUCUGGACACAAACUGACGCUGAGGUACGAAAGCGUGGGGAGCAAACAGG